rnacentral:rRNA from 1 species
GAUGAACGCUGGCGGCGUGCCUAAUACAUGCAAGUCGAGCGAACGGACGAGAAGCUUGCUUCUCUGAUGUUAGCGGCGGACGUGUGAGUAACACGUGGAUAACCUACCUAUAAGACUGGGAUAACUUCGGGAAACCGGAUCUAAUACCGGAUGAUAUUUUGAACCGCAUGGUUCAAAAGUGAAAGACGGUCUUGCUGUCACUUAUAGAUGGAUCCGCGCUGCAUUAGCUAGUUGGUAAGGUAACGGCUUACCAAGGCAACGAUGCAUAGCCGACCUGAGAGGGGGAUAGGCGACACGGGAGCGGAGACACGGUCCAGACUCCUACGGGAGGCAGCAGUAGGGAAUCUUCCGCAAUGGGCGAAAGCCUGACGGAGCAAGGCCGCGUGAGUGAUGAAGGCCUUCGGAUCGUAAAAAUCUGUUAUGAGGGAAGAACAUAUGUGUAAGGAACUGUGCACAUCGUGACGGUACCUAAUCAGAAAGCAACGGCUAACUACGUG